UACGGAGGGGGCUAGCGUUGUUCGGAAUUACUGGGCGUAAAGCGCGUGUAGGCGGCUCGGAAAGUCGGAUGUGAAAGCCCUGGGCUUAACCUAGGAAGUGCAUUCGAAACUCUCGAGCUUGAGUUCUGGAGAGGAAGGCGGAAUUCUCGGUGUAGAGGUGAAAUUCGUAGAUAUCGAGAGGAACACCGGUGGCGAAGGCGGCCUUCUGGACAGUGACGUGACGCUGAGACGCGAAAGCGUGGGGAGCAAACAGG
rnacentral:rRNA from 1 species